rnacentral:rRNA from 1 species
UACGGAGGGUGCAAGCGUUGUUCGGAAUUAUUGGGCGUAAAGCGCGCGCAGGCGGCCUGGAAAGUCUAUGGGUGAAAUGCCGGGGCUCAACCCUGGAAUGCCAGUGGAUACUGUCAAGCUAGAGUCCGGAAGAGGCGAGUGGAAUUCCUGGUGUAGCGGUGAAAUGCGCAGAUAUCAGGAGGAACACCAAUGGCGAAGGCAGCUCGCUGGGACGGUACUGACGCUGAGACGCGAAAGCGUGGGGAGCAAACAGG